AAUGAACGCUGGCGGCAGGCCUAACACAUGCAAGUCGAACGGAUCCUUCGGGAUUAGUGGCGGACGGGUGAGUAACGCGUGGGAACAUACCCAAAGGUACGGAAUAGCCUCGGGAAACUGGGAGUAAUACCGUAUGUGCUCGAAAGAGGAAAGAUUUAUCGCCUUUGGAUUGGCCCGCGUUGGAUUAGGUAGUUGGUGGGGUAAUGGCCUACCAAGCCGACGAUCCAUAGCUGGUUUGAGAGGAUGAUCAGCCACACUGGGACUGAGACACGGCCCAGACUCCUACGGGAGGCAGCAGUGGGGAAUCUUAGACAAUGGGGGAAACCCUGAUCUAGCCAUGCCGCGUGAUCGAUGAAGGCCUUAGGGUUGAAAAGAUCUUUCAGGUGGGAAGAUAAUGACUGUACCACCAGAAGAAGCCCCGGCUAACUCCGUGCCAGCAGCCGCAGUAACAC
rnacentral:rRNA from 1 species